CAGAAAUAGAAAACAAACAACACACUAGAACAUGAGAGCCCUUUGUCUGUAUACCAUGGGUCAAAGAAGACUUAAGAUGGCAAGUCCAGGGCUGGAGAGAUGGCUCAGAGAGAAGUACUUAACUACAGAGCACAUUCAUCGACUUUGUGGACAGUUGAUGCGGAACAAAUAUCUCUUUGAACUCAUUCAGUAGUUAGUUGAGUGGGCUUAAGAGUCUUUAAGAAGCCUGGCCUUCCCACAGCUCACAUUGCUGCUAUGAACCGCGUUGGCGGGAAAGGUCACAGUCCAGCAAGGGAACAAGCGUUUGCUACAUGCACUAACCAGGUACCAGGUAGCACGUUGAUGGUUGUUGUCUUCCUUUAGUAGUUGUUUAAUGAUUUGCCUCCCUUUACAAUCACAAAAUAAAAGUUU
rnacentral:lncRNA from 1 species